GAUGAACGCUGGCGGCGUGCCUAAUACAUGCAAGUCGAGCGAACAGACGAGGAGCUUGCUCCUCUGACGUUAGCGGCGGACGGGUGAGUAACACGUGGAUAACCUACCUAUAAGACUGGGAUAACUUCGGGAAACCGGAGCUAAUACCGGAUAAUAUAUUGAACCGCAUGGUUCAAUAGUGAAAGACGGUUUUGCUGUCACUUAUAGAUGGAUCCGCGCCGCAUUAGCUCGUUGGUAAGGUAACGGCUUACCAAGGCGACGAUGCGUAGCCGACCUGAGAGGGUGAUCCGCCACACUGGAACUGCGACACGGUCCAGACUCCUACUGGAGGACGCAGUACGGAAUCUUCCGCAGAGGGCGAAAGCCUGACGGAGCAACGCCGCGUGAGUGAUGAAGGUCUUCGGAUCGUAAAACUCUGUUAUUAGGGAAGAACAAAUGUGUAAGUAACUAUGCACGUCUUGACGGUACCUAAUCAGAAAGCCACGGCUAACUACGUG
rnacentral:rRNA from 1 species